UACGAAGGACCCGAGCGUUAUCCGGAUUUAUUGGGUUUAAAGGGUGCGUAGGCGGAUUAAUAAGUCAGUGGUGAAAGCCCAUCGCUCAACGAUGGAAUUGCCAUUGAUACUGUUAAUCUUGAGUACGGUUGAGGUGGGCGGAAUGUGUCAUGUAGCGGUGAAAUGCUUAGAUAUGACACAGAACACCAAUUGCGAAGGCAGCUCGCUAAACCGUAACUGACGCUGAGGCACGAAAGCGUGGGGAGCAAACAGG
rnacentral:rRNA from 1 species